rnacentral:rRNA from 1 species
ACACAUGCAAGUCGAGCGGUAGCACAGAGAGCUUGCUCUCGGGUGACGAGCGGCGGACGGGUGAGUAAUGUCUGGGAAACUGCCUGAUGGAGGGGGAUAACUACUGGAAACGGUAGCUAAUACCGCAUAAUGUCGCAAGACCAAAGUGGGGGACCUUCGGGCCUCAUGCCAUCAGAUGUGCCCAGAUGGGAUUAGCUAGUAGGUGGGGUAACGGCUCACCUAGGCGACGAUCCCUAGCUGGUCUGAGAGGAUGACCAGCCACACUGGAACUGAGACACGGUCCAGACUCCUACGGGAGGCAGCAGUGGGGAAUAUUGCACAAUGGGCGCAAGCCUGAUGCAGCCAUGCCGCGUGUGUGAAGAAGGCCUUCGGGUUGUAAAGCACUUUCAGCGGGGAGGAAGGCGUUAAGGUUAAUAACCUUGGCGAUUGACGUUACCCGCAGAAGAAGCACCGGCUAACUCCGUGCCAGCAGCCGCGGUAAUACGGAGGGUGCAAGCGUUAAUCGGAAUUACUGGGCGUAAAGCGCACGCAUGCGGUCUGUCAAGUCGGAUGUGAAAUCCCCGGGCUCAACCUGGGAACUGCAUUCGAAACUGGCAGGCUAGAGUCUUGUAGAGGGGGUAGAAUUCCAGGUGUAGCGGUGAAAUGCGUAGAGAUCUGGAGGAAUACGGUGGCGAAAGCGGCCCUGGACAAAGACUGACGCUUAGUGCGAAACGUGGGGAGCAAACAG